UAGGGAAAGUUUUUCGGUGUAGGAUGAGACUAUAUAGUAUCAGCUAGUUGGUAAGGUAAUGGCUUACCAAGGCUAUGACGCUUAACUGGUCUGAGAGGAUGAUCAGUCACACUGGAACUGAGACACGGUCCAGACUCCUACGGGAGGCAGCAGUAGGGAAUAUUGCGCAAUGGGGGAAACCCUGACGCAGCAACGCCGCGUGGAGGAUGACACUUUUCGGAGCGUAAACUCCUUUUCUUAGGGAAGAAUUCUGACGGUACCUAAGGAAUAAGCACCGGCUAACUCCGUGCCAGCAGCCGCGGUAAUACGGAGGGUGCAAGCGUUACUCGGAAUCACUGGGCGUAAAGGGCGCGUAGGCGGAUUAUCAAGUCUCUUGUGAAAUCUAAUGGCUUAACCAUUAAACUGCUUGGGAAACUGAUAGUCUAGAGUGAGGGAGAGGCAGAUGGAAUUGGUGGUGUAGGGGUAAAAUCCGUAGAUAUCACCAAGAAUACCCAUUGCGAAGGCGAUCUGCUGGAACUCAACUGACGCUAAGGCGCGAAAGCGUGGGGAGCAAACAGGAUUAGAUACCCUGGUAGUCCACGCCCUAAACGAUGUACACUAGUUGUUGGGGUGCUAGUCAUCUCAGUAAUGCAGCUAACGCAUUAAGUGUACCGCCUGGGGAGUACGGUCGCAAGAUUAAAACUCAAAGGAAUAGACGGGGACCCGCACAAGCGGUGGAGCAUGUGGUUUAAUUCGAAGAUACGCGAAGAACCUUACCUGGGCUUGAUAUCCUAAGAACCUUUUAGAGAUAAGAGGGUGCUAGCUUGCUAGAACUUAGAGACAGGUGCUGCACGGCUGUCGUCAGCUCGUGUCGUGAGAUGUUGGGUUAAGUCCCGCAACGAGCGCAACCCACGUAUUUAGUUGCUAACGGUUCGGCCGAGCACUCUAAAUAGACUGCCUUCGUAAGGAGGAGGAAGGUGUGGACGACGUCAAGUCAUCAUGGCCCUUAUGCCCAGGGCGACACACGUGCUACAAUGGCAUAUACAAUGAGACGCAAUACCGCGAGGUGGAGCAAAUCUAUAAAAUAUGUCCCAGUUCGGAUUGUUCUCUGCAACUCGAGAGCAUGAAGCCGGAAUCGCUAGUAAUCGUAGAUCAGCCAUGCUACGGUGAAUACGUUCCCGGGUCUUGUACUCACCGCCCGUCACACCAUGGGAGUUGAUUUCACUCGAAGCCGGAAUACUAAACUAGUUACCGUCCACAGUGGAAUCAGCGACUGGGGUGAAGUCGUAACAAGGUAACCGUAGGAGAACCUGCGGUUGGA
rnacentral:rRNA from 1 species